CGUUCCCGGGCCUUGUACACACCGCCCGUCACACCACGGAAGCAAGCAACACCCGAAGCCGGUGGCCUAACCCUUUUGGGAGGGAGCCGUCGAAGGUGGGGCUCGUGACUGGGGUGAAGUCGUAACGAAGGUACC
rnacentral:rRNA from 1 species